CUUGUCCGGAGAAGACAAGGUGAGCGCUACCAUCAGUCCUGUGUCAUGCCAACAGUAAAGCAUCCUGAGACCAUUCAUGUGUGGGGUUGCUUCUCAGCCAAGGGAGUGGGCUCACUCACAAAUAUAUGAUUACUGCCGCUUGGGGGAAGCUGUGAGAUCUUGGAGGUUUCUUCUUCAAUCUUGGAGAAUGACUUCUACUAAAAACUAACAUCUCAUAAUUUUACCCUAUUCAUUCAGGUUUGGAUGAUCGGACCAACAGGACUGCCAUGGGCAAGUCCCUUGACAAGUACCAGGAAUGGUGGGAGGACAAUCUGAAGAGCUAUGGAAGUGCGCUUCACAGAUUAAUCCUGGUUCCAACUGUACCGGGAGGAUGGCAGACAGCGUGUAUGACUUCGUGUGGGCAAGCAGUUUGCUGACGUCAACUUUGUGAACAGUGCUCCAUGGUGGCGGUGGGGCUAUGAUAUGGGCAGCCAUAAGCUACAGACAACAAACACAACUUAAUUUUAUCAAUGGCAAUUUCAAUGCACAGAUCCCGUGAUGAGCUCCUGAGGCCCAUUGUCGUGCCACUCAUCCGCCGCCAUCACUUCAUGUUUCCCCAUGAUAAUGCACAGUCCCAUGUCACAAGGAUCUGUACACAAUUCCUGGAAGCUGAAAAUGUCCCAGUUCUUUCAUGGCCUGCAUACUCACCAGACACGUCACACAUUGAGCACGUUUGGGAUGCUCUGAAUUGACAUGUACGACAGCGUGUUCUAGUUCCCGCCAAUAUCUAGCAACUUUGCACAGCCAUUGAAGAGGAGUGGAAAAACAUUCCAAAGGUUAGUCAACAGCCUGAUCAACUCUAUACAAAGGAGAUGUGUCAUGAAGAAAAUGGUGGUCACACCAGAUACUGACUGGUUUUCUGAUCAAUGCCCCUACUUUUUGAAUUACAUUUUUUUUUAACCCUCCUGUUGUGUUCGUUUCAUGUUAAUUAAUUCUGUGUUCGCGGUCCAAAAUGA
rnacentral:lncRNA from 1 species